AUUGAACGCUGGCGGCAGGCCUAACACAUGCAAGUCGAGCGAGCGGCGGACGGGUGAGUAAUGUCUGGGAAACUGCCUGAUGGAGGGGGAUAACUACUGGAAACGGUAGCUAAUACCGCAUACCAUCAGAUGUGCCCAGAUGGGAUUAGCUGGUAGGUGAGGUAACGGCUCACCUAGGCAACGAGCCCUAGCUGGUCUGAGAGGAUGACCAGCCACACUGUAACUGAGACGCGGUCCAGACGCCUACGGGAGGCAGCGUGGGGGAAUAUUGCACAAUGGGCGCAAUCCUGAUGCAUCCAUGCCGCGGGUGUGAAGAAGGCCUUCGGGUUGUAAAGCACUUUCAGCGGGGAGGCGUUACCCGCAGAAGAAGCACCGGCUAACUCCGUGCCAGCAGCCGCGGUAAUAC
rnacentral:rRNA from 1 species